rnacentral:rRNA from 1 species
GACGAACGCUGGCGGCGUGCUUAACACAUGCAAGUCGAACGGAAAGGCCCUGCUUUUGUGGGGUGCUCGAGUGGCGAACGGGUGAGUAACACGUGAGUAACCUGCCCUUGACUUUGGGAUAACUUCAGGAAACUGGGGCUAAUACCGGAUAGGAGCUCCUGCUGCAUGGUGGGGGUUGGAAAGUUUCGGCGGUUGGGGAUGGACUCGCGGCUUAUCAGCUUGUUGGUGGGGUAGUGGCUUACCAAGGCUUUGACGGGUAGCCGGCCUGAGAGGGUGACCGGCCAUAUUGGGACUGAGAUACGGCCCAGACUCCUACGGGAGGCAGCAGUGGAGAAUAUUACACAGUGGGCGGAAGCCUGAUGCGGCAACGCCGCGUGCGGGAUGACGGCCUUCGGGUUGUAAACCGCUUUCGCCUGUGACGAAGCGUGAGUGACGGUAAUGGGUAAAGAAGCACCGGCUAACUACGUG